UCUGCCAACAACAAGAAAAAUCAAACAUAUUGUUGAAAAGGCCUGAGGGAAUUUUUCCAGAUAGAGACAGCUCCUGGUUGAAUUGCUCUGACAUCUGCACAAAAUUUCAUAAACAUCAAGAAUGAGAAACCAUAAAUUCUUUAAACAUUUACAACAGAAAAUAUAUAAAGUUUGCUUUCAUACAGGCAUUCAUCUUCCUGUAUUAAGGAAUGUAAGGAGAGCGGGAGUUCAAUAAAAUGGUUCAUCUGCCAAUCCCUCAAUCAGCCAGAAUAAUUCGCAUGGAAACACUUAGAACACAUGAAAUAAAAUCCUCAAAUGUGCUUCUGCAGAAAUACCUCCUACAGUUAUAGUGUUACAAUAUAUCUCAAUGAGGAUACCGAAAGCAAGAUCUCUAGAUAAACAGUUACUUUGAAAACCAGGACUAACAAAAACCAAGACAAACAAUGGCAUGGCUUCUUUUAAGACAGAAAACUUAUUCUUUAGAAGACAAUGACAAUCCAAGAGAUUUGGAAAGAGGAAAUGACAAAAACGAAAAAAAUGAAUUAAGUGCUCAGACAAAAGCUUUUAAAAGGUUGGAAUAAACCCAAAAUUAAUUGCUUCAGUUACUUACAGGUGAUAUUGGUCUAAAAAUUUAUAUAUAUAUAUAUAUAUAUAUANNNNNNNNNNNNNNNNNNNNUAUAUAUAUAUGUGUGUGUGUGUGUGUGUGUGUGUAUCUGUGUGUGUGUGUGUGUGUUAUAUAUAUAUCUAUGUAUGUAAGUAUGUAUGUAUGUAUAUCUAUGUAUGUAUGUAUAUAUAUAAAUGUAUGUAUGUAUGUAUGUAUGUAUAUAUGUGUGUGUAUAUGUAUGUAUGUAUAUAUGUGUGUGUGUGUGUGUGUAAAAUCCUCCAUAUCCACCAUAAUUCUUGCAAUUGAGCCCACCAGUUAAUUGAUACUGCCUUCUAUGUGUCUCUACUCUCCAUAAAUAACAGAUGUUGAUAUCAUUCUUCAUCCAGCUUGCCAAAAGAUGGGGGUAAAAAAAAUUUGUAGUUUUGGUUUUUCCACAUAAUAUGGCCAGAGCUCUAUAACAAAGGAGAUAGGAGGGUUUUUCACUCUUUGAUUUUUUGAAAAAUGCUAGUUUACCAUUGAGAGAGCAAUUAGUCCUGCAAUCUCUCUCUCUCUCUCUCUCUCACCCCUCUAGCAAACUUCUGCUCGUUUUACCAACUUUUUACAUGUUUUAAAAUUUUCAUGGAUACUUUCUCCUUGAUCUAAUGAAACAAAAACUGCAUUUUCCCCCUCCUCUAUAUAGGACAUGCCUCAUCAUUAUCCUCAGAGGCAUCUCCUCCUUAACUGACAUCCUUACUAUUCUCCCAUCUAAUUUCUUUUUUCUUUAGCUAUUUAUUCAAGAAACUUAAAUCAUAUUCUAUAUUUAACUGACUUCAAAUCUUCCAAGUUAAUUUCCUAAUGCAUCUACUUUGGCAAAACAUAAAUCAAUAUAACCUGAUAAAUUCACAAGUACAGUGACAGCUCCAAACUCAAGACCAAGUAGUGUGGGUUCUGAUAAUUUGACCACCCAAAACAGAAAUCAUUAUUCACAUGAUAAAAUGGUUUUGCUCACAGCAAACAAGUGGAGCAAUAACUCUCAACCUACCCCUUUUUUGGAUAAGCAUAAACAAGCUUUUCAGGAAACUGCAGUGAAAGAAACCUUCGGUGGGUUAUCAAACAAAGAAAUAAACAGAAUAAUUGUAAGAGACAAAAGAGAAUAAGAGGAAGCAACAGAACAACUGAUGCCAUACUUUGCAGAGCAUAGAUUAUUAUCCAAUCAAACAUAGAAGCUGGUUCUUAGAAUUAAGGAAUGGAAGUGUAACUAGGAGCAAAAAUAAGAUUCAGAUGAAGUGCCAAUAAAUUUCAUUUUCACAACAGAUAAAGUGGCGAGGGGAACAACAUGAGAGUGAGUGAAAACAUGGUUCAAGAAUGAAUUAAACAACAAAAAUAAACUAGAACUGCAUGAAUUAAUCAGACUACAACCAGGAUGUGGUAAGUUUGUUAGAUAAAAAAAGGAAUUGUAAACAAGGAGAUGACAUUAUGAAUGUAUGUCUCUUUAGCAUAUAUUAUUUGAAUAACUUUAUGAUUCUUUUCCUCAGAAAUUGUUAUAUUACAGGUACACUGAGACAAGUAGCCUAGAUCUUUCUUUUUUUUUUUUUUCUAAAAGAAACUUUGAAACUACAGAUGAUUUCAAUAUCUUUCAUGUGCAAAAUUGCAGUUGAGAUUAGAAACUUUGAUAGGCUAAGUCUGCAUCAAGCUUACCCAAAAUUUCCACUGAACUUAACCUUACCAAGCCUGAAACAAUACAAAAUCAGGGUGAUGGAUCAGCUUGGCAGCAUCCCUAGUUUGAACCUCCCUUAUCUUGUAACUCCCAUAAAUGCUUAGACACCAUAACUGACUUUCAAAUAUACUAAAGAUACACAAUAAUGCAUGGCAGUUCUAACAAUCCUGCUAAGAAUACUGGCUUGUCAAAAAAAAAAAAAUUCUGCAGGUCUGACACAUCACCAAUUUAACCAUUCAAGGCUCAAGUUUUGUCCCAGGUUCAAAAUGUCAGUAUGAAGUUGUUGAUGAAACCACAAAGUACCAUGGUUAUACAACUCACAUGUUUAUCCUAAUACAACAAAAAUGAUAUGACUAGCUUGAUUUGCAUUAUAUAUAGGUUCCUAGGAUCAUCUUUUCCCCUAAUCUUUUCCUUAAUGUUUCACUUUGGGGCUUCUCUUUGACUAGGUAGCUUCUCUUCUUGUUUAUUUUUCAGCAUCCGCACCCCUCCCCCCACCCCCCUAAGGGAAAAAAAAAAUUCUUUUUUCUUUCUUAGUUUCUUUCUUGAUCUGUAAGAUAUAAGUUUUAUGGACAUGCAAAAUGCAAAUGUCCAAGAUAAUUAACACCCAUUCAGCAGAUAUAGAGAGAUUGCUCAGGCGGCAUAAGGUAACCAUUAGGCAUGGCCAAGUAGGAAUAGAUGUGCUGUACUUCUAUAAUAUUGUGAUUUGGAUAAUAAUGUGCAUAGCUGAGUGCAUAAAACACAAAGUAUAGGGAACUGAGCAAGCUAUGAAUCUUUCAACAACGAGGCAGGAGAGAACCCUGUUUCUUUGACACAGUGCAAUUACAACAACUUGUGAUCGUUGUAUGUAGAGGGUUCUGCAUCCCAUGGGAGAGAUUGUAUGUCUUAAUUCUAGUUUGAUCUUGUACUGGCCCCCUACAAAAAGAGGAGGAAUAGAACUGGCAAACCCCAUUUUGCACUUCUCCAACACCAAACACUAAUGCCAUCAAUUUACAUAUAGUCAACACUCAACAUGCAACAUAUAAUUCUGAUGUAUCUCCCAAAAAAGAAGGCCUACAGGCAGCAUAAACAAAAGUAGCCUUCAUCAUUCCGUAUCUCGCCAUACAGUUUUCCAACAGGGAUUAGUUUCUUAUAAUUUGGAAUAUGACAUAUAUUACAUAUACCGCAAGAUCAUAUAUUUUUUCUUUACCGCUAAUACAUAUAGCUUCAUCAAGCAUAUACAUUUAAACCAAACAAAUGCAAGCAAUGAAACGAACCGAGGCAGCAAAGAAUACCUGCUGAAACGACAAAACAUCAGACCUGAACCGCAUCCUUUCCCCUUUAUCCCACUUGAUGGAUUUUGGAACAUUCGGGAUGCACAAUCCACCAGGAAGAACAACAUCCUGA
rnacentral:lncRNA from 1 species